rnacentral:misc_RNA from 1 species
AACGCAUAUUGCGCCCGAGGCCCCUGGCCAAGGGCAUGUCUGCCUCAGCGUCGGGUUAAUACUCGCCCCCUCUUCUCAUUUGAGUAGAACGGGCGGAUCUGGCCGUUCCAGUGAUCAUUCGAGAGCUGGAUCAGCCGAAGAACAGAGGCUAACCAAGGACCCGUCAAGGGCCGCAACUGGGUGGGCAGCUCACGCUUGCUAAAUCAUCUUGGUUGUUGGUCUGGGACUUUGUUGUUCGGCCCAAACAGGAACCCUUCUUUAUUUUCUCGACCUGAGCUCAGGCAAGAACACCCGCUGAACUUAA